rfam:Phlebia centrifuga strain FBCC195 PHLCENscaffold_1834, whole genome shotgun sequence.
UCCGAUAUGGUGUAGUGGCUAACAUUAUCGCCUCUCAUGCGGGUGCGCGAUAGCCCGGGGUUCAAUUCCCCGUGUCGGAA